GAUGAACGCUGGCGGCGUGCUUAACACAUGCAAGUCGAACGGAAAGGCCCUGCUCUUGCUGGGUGCUCGAGUGGCGCACGGGUGAGUAACACGCGAGUAACCUGCCCUUGUCUUUCGGAUAACUCCAGGAAACUGCGGCUCUUACAGGAUAGGAGCUCCUGCUGCACGGUGGGGGUUGGAAAGUUUCGGCGGUUGGGGAUGGACUCGCGGCUUAUCCGCUUGUUGGUGGGGUAGUGGCUUACCAAGGUUACGACGGGUAGCCGGCCUGAGAGGGUGACCGGCCACAUUGGGACUAAGAUACGGCCCAGAAGCCUACGUGAGGCAGCAGUGGGGAGUAUGGCACAGUGGGGGGAAGCCUGAUGCAGCAGCGCCGCGUGCGUGAUGACGGCCUUCGAGUUGUAAACCGCUUUCGCCUGUGACGAGGCGUGAGUGACGGUAAUGGAUAAAGAAGCACCGGCUAACUACGUG
rnacentral:rRNA from 1 species